GAAGAAUGGAGAAGAAUUGUAGGGCCCAAGAUCAGAGAGAUGAGUAGGGCCAGAUCAUGUGGGCAAGCUUUUAUGUAUUAGCACGCUUAGAAUUAAUAUUCUGCUUGAGAACUAACCUGAUAUUUGAAACAGAGUGAAAAAGAAAAUACCUCCCACAGUAUACUUCAUAGCUUCUUAUUUAGCCCAAGCUGUCAGGGAAAUAAAGUCCAGCUAUGGCUAAGUUUCACAUAAUGCACUGCUUUGGAGUUUUUGUCUCAUCUGUUAGAGUAAGAUAAGUACCACAUACUAUUAUAAGGCUAUAUAGCAUAAAAUGAUGAUGCAUUUUCUCCUGUCAUUGAUAAGAGGAUUUUUUUAAAAGUAAAUUUCUUGGUUUAGAAUUUGAAAGCAGUUUCAAACUUGGAUAACACAAUUCAGAUCUUUUUUUAAAAUUAUUUUUUAUUUAUAUUAAAAAAAAAUUUUUUUUUUGAGAUAGGGUCUGGCUCUAUCACGCAGACUGGCACACAGUGGCACAAUCUUGGCUCAUUGCAACCUCUGCCUCCCAGGCUGAAGCCAUCCUCCCACCUCAGCCUCCCAAGUAGCUGGGACUACAGGCAUGCACCACCAUGCCUGGCUAAUUUUUGUAGAGAGGGGGUCUCACUUUGUUACCCAGACUGGGAGAUUUUUCUGUACUUGGCUGUAUGCUUUCCAUUGAUCUGCUGCUGUUUUCACUAUUAUUCCUUCUUUUGUGUGGGUAUUUUCUUUUGAUUUUUAGAAUUUUACUUGUAAACAUGCUACAUAUACAUAUAAUUUGGUGCCCUGUUUUUCCAUUUACAUAUUAUACUUUCCAUAUUAGUACAUUGUCUGAUAUUUCUGCAUAAUACUCAAUUCAACUUACCUGCUAUUGUUUUUAUCAUAUCUCUAUUACAAACAUUAGGCCCAUUUCCCUUUUUUAAAAGAGGAAAGUUUGAGGUUAUGGGCGGUGUUCUGAUAAAAUAAAUAAUAUUUUGUCAUGUUUGUUUUUUCAUUGAUUAGGAAACAUUGUUUUGAAUUUAAUGCCUCAAAUUUGGUGCACAAUAAUUUGAAGGGAAAAACUGACAAGUUUGAAAUGAACAUUGAUAUUACAUAAUUUACAUUAAAAUGAUACAUCUUUUGUAAAUUUGUAAGAAGAAUAAAUAAAUGAAAACCUGA
rnacentral:lncRNA from 1 species